rnacentral:rRNA from 1 species
UACAGAGGUCUCAAGCGUUGUUCGGAUUCAUUGGGCGUAAAGGGUGCGUAGGCGGCGCGGUAAGUCGGGUGUGAAAUCUCGGAGCUUAACUCCGAAACUGCAUUCGAUACUGCCGUGCUUGAGGACUGGAGAGGAGACUGGGAAUUUACGGUGUAGCGGUGAAAUGCGUAGAUAUCGUAAGGAAGACCAGUGGCGAAGGCGGGUCUCUGGACAGUUCCUGACGCUGAGGCACGAAGGUCAGGGGAGCAAACGGG